rnacentral:ncRNA from 2 species
ACAUUCCACCACGGGUGCUCGCGGCAGCGGGCUGAGAUGGGGCUGAAGCCGCUCUGACCGUUGAACCUGAACCGGGUAAUGCCGGCGCAGGAAGCGAGGAGCGAUUUCCGU